CAGGGACUACCGUUGCUGCUGCGGCCUCCUCCCUCCGUCUACAGGUUAGCUAUAAAUAAGGAUAAGAGUAAGAAGAAUAAGUCGAUCGAGGAAUAGCCAAGGAUCAGAGAAUAUAUAGGAUUUUUGCUAAUUCUUGAUCAUGGCAUCCCCACCCAACAGAGACCAGCAACGGGAGAAAGACUACGCAGAUGCCGACGUUGGGGCUUAUCAGAGCGCUGGCCUUCCUCGGCGUAGCGCUUAUUUCCAAGUUGGUCGGAGGGGCCCUCCCCGCUCGACAAGCUAUACCAAGAUCGACACCUGUGGAAGAGGCCCGCAACAGCACCAGGUGAGAUAAUGGCACGGGGAAGGAGACGCAGCGACGACCACUGUUCCGGCCACUGUGGCCUCCUUCCUCUGUCGAGAAUUCUACAUAACUAAUCAAUCCCCCCAUGUUUUUUCUUACUAAUCACAAACUUUACGCACAUACAUGCAUGCAUCUUAUUUUCAGUUUCUUGGUAAUUACAACGGUGGUGCAAUUUGAUAUAUAUAUAUAUAUGUAUAUAUGUAGUAGGGUUGCAAAAGAAGGCAGAGGAGGCGAGGAAGAGGGAGGAUCAAGAAGAAGAAGAUAAUAAUGUGUUCGAGAAGAUCAGUCUUCUGUGACGCUUAAGUUGUAUUACCUUCAAAAUGGAAGUGCAAGACUUGGAUUCUGGAUUAGAGGGAGGGAAUUCUUGCUUCCUGUGGGGAUUGUUUUAAAGGUUUUCUUUAGUCCACGUGGAGGUAUUUCCUUAAUUUGGGCAGGUAUACUUUUUGAUUAAAUUCCAUUUUCUUUUGUCGACAUAUCAGUAUUUUCUUAUAUUUGAGCUUUUGUACGAAAUACCUGUCAGUUUAACUAUUUUGCUUAAUUAUAGGUUUGUAUAGGAUUUGUGUCAGCACUAUGUGUCAGCUUAACUUAUCUAUCAGCUUAACUCAUAUUUUACAAAGUAAAUUAACUAGGAUGGCAAUUGCGAAAUAAUUGCAACCAGUGUGUUCUGUAUAUUAUUUUUUUCGAUUGUUGUGAUGGUGUUUUUUUGCUAUUCCUGUUUAAAAUUAUUUACUAUAAGUUCUGCAAUUUAUAUAUUCUAAUUAAUUUUGUAAGUUGCUGCUUCACUUGAUUUUUGUACUACUGCAAUCGUAUAUUUUUGGGACAGCCGGUUAGUAACAUUUCUUAACCAACUUUUCCUAUUAGUCUUAUUUCAUUCUUUUUUUAAUUCUUUAUUGACUAUUGUCUUUUCUUUCAUCUAACUCUUGCACUCUUUCCUCGACUUCUACAGCUCUUAAUUUUGUUGUAUCUAUGGUCAUUCCUGCUGCUGGUGCAUUAACUGCUUAUACUUUUAUUUGUUUGUUAUUUAAAAUUUUAUAGUUCUUUUAUGUAUUUACUAUUUCGUCUUUCUUUAGCUUUUUUUUAUAAGAUCUCAAAUAUUUCUUCAGUUUAACUACGCAUCAAAUUUUAUUCUUUUAUGUUUUAUUUUUCUUACUCUUUUUUUUUUUCUCUAUGUUGCAAGUAUGAUAUGUUAUUUACAUUAUAACGAAAAUAAUUAAUU